GAUCAGAUGAUGAGUUGAUAACUGCAACAAUAUGAACUUGAUGAUUCUUAGUAUUUAAGUCUCUGAUGAUC